AUUGAACGCUGGCGGCAGGCCUAACACAUGCAAGUCGAGCGGAAACGAGUUAUCUGAACCUUCGGGGAACGAUAACGGCGUCGAGCGGCGGACGGGUGAGUAAUGCCUAGGAAAUUGCCCUGGUGUGGGGAUAACCAUUGGAAACGAUGGCUAAUACCGCAUAAUACCUUCGGGUCAAAGAGGGGGACCUUCGGGCCUCUCGCGUCAGGAUAUGCCUAGGUGGGAUUAGCUAGUUGGUGAGGUAAUGGCUCACCAAGGCGACGAUCCCUAGCUGGUCUGAGAGGAUGAUCAGCCACACUGGAACUGAGACACGGUCCAGACUCUACGGAAGCAGCAGUGGGAAUAUUGCACAAUGGGCGCAAGCCUGAUGCAGCCAUGCCGCGUGUGUGAAGAAGGCUUCGGGUGUAAAGACUUUCAGUCGUGAGGAAGUAGUGUAG
rnacentral:rRNA from 1 species